AUGAUGAACGACAUAGUCAUGAGGGCGUCCGUGGGCGAUAGGUGCGCGCAGCUGGAUGCGUACCUGGAGGAGCUGGACAUGGUGUUGGACCUCAUGUCCGGGUUUAACCUCAUCGACCUGUUCCAGGCGUCGCGUCUCACCCGGGCGAUCGGUGGCCAGCCUCUCAGGGCGACGUGGGAGCUGCACCGGAGGAUCCACUCCAUCAUGGACGCGAUGAUCAACAAUCACAGAACGGCUAUGGAGGGCGAGGAGGACAAUGAUGCCAGACGUGAGCAGAGGGGGGACAUACUCACCACUCUGCUCCAGUUCCAGAGGGACGACAGGAUUGGCGUGGUCGCCCUCACCCAUGAAAACAUCAGCGGCGUCCUCUUUGAUCUUUUCGUUGCAGGGUCAGAGACUACAGCCACUACAACAAUCUGGGCAAUGUCUGAGCUGAUGAGGAGCCCACACAUAAUGGCCGCCGCACAAUCUGAAGUUCGCCGAGUCCUCCACAGCAAGACCGAGGUGAAUGAGGCCGACAAUGAUGGCCGGCUCCACUACCUACAGAUGGUCAUCAAGGAGACCUUCAGGUUGCAUCCACCGGUGCCAUUGCUCAUGCUGAGGCUUUGCACUGAGCAAACAAUGGUCAUGGGCUAUGAUAUUCCACAGGGCACCACUGUGUUCGUGAAUGUGUCAGCAAUCGGUAGGGAUGAGAAGAGCUGGACUGACGCGAGCGAGUUCAUGCCCAAGAGGUUUGACGGUGAAAAGGUUGAUUAUGGUGGUAUGGACUUCAGGUUCCUCCCAGGUGGGGCUGGACGGAGAAUGUGCCCCGGUAUGAUGUUUGGAGUAUCAAACAUCGAAAUGGCUCUUGCGAGCCUUCUCUAUCACUUCGACUGGAAGCUUCCCGAUGGUGGGAACCCGGAGAAGCUUGAUAUGAGUGAAGUGUAUGGGAUCAUGGUUCGUCGUACGACCGAGCUUGUGUUGGAAGCUACUGUUUUUGUGCCUUAA
rnacentral:rRNA from 1 species